GAUGAAGAACGUAGCGAAAUGCGAUAAGUAAUGUGAAUUGCAGAAUUCAGUGAAUCAUCGAAUCUUUGAACGCACAUUGCGCCCGCCAGUAUUCUGGCGGGCAUGCCUGUUCGAGCGUCAUUUCAACCAUCAAGCCCCCGGCUUGUGUUGGGGACCUGCGGCUGCCGCAGGCCCUGAAAAGCAGUGGCGGGCUCGCUGUCACACCGAGCGUAGUAGCAUACAUCUCGCUCUGGGCGUGCUGCGGGUUCCGGCCGUUAAACCACCUUCAUAACCCAAGGUUGACCUCGGAUCAGGUAGGAAGAACCGCUGACCUUAAGCAUAUCAAUAAGCGGAGGA
rnacentral:misc_RNA from 1 species